AACGAACGCUGGCGGCAGGCUUAACACAUGCAAGUCGAGCGCCCCGCAAGGGGAGCGGCAGACGGGUGAGUAACGCGUGGGAACGUACCCUUUGCUACGGAAUAGCUCCGGGAAACUGGAAUUAAUACCGUAUGUGCCCUACGGGGGAAAGAUUUAUCGGCAAAGGAUCGGCCCGCGUUGGAUUAGCUAGUUGGUGGGGUAAUGGCCUACCAAGGCGACGAUCCAUAGCUGGUCUGAGAGGAUGAUCAGCCACAUUGGGACUGAGACACGGCCCAAACUCCUACGGGAGGCAGCAGUGGGGAAUAUUGGACAAUGGGCGCAAGCCUGAUCCAGCCAUGCCGCGUGAGUGAUGAAGGCCUUAGGGUUGUAAAGCUCUUUCACCGGAGAAGAUAAUGACGGUAUCCGGAGAAGAAGCCCCGGCUAACUUCGUGCCAGCAGCCGCAGUAAAAA
rnacentral:rRNA from 1 species